UUUAACUUAUAAUAUUUUUUAUUCAACUUUUUUUUUCUUUUCUCAAAACUCAAAAAAUAUUUAAUUCAAAUUAUCUCAUUACUAUUUACAAACCAUCUUACCACUAUUCACAAAAUUAUCGUCUUAUCUCAUUCCCCAAGCAUCCCCUUAGUCUUG